rnacentral:SRP_RNA from 1 species
CAUCGGUCCCUCCGCAACGAUAGCUUGUGAACCCCGCCAGGUCCGGAAGGAAGCAACGGUAGCUAGUGAUUCGUGUGCCGGAGUGUGGCUGGUGGGG